rnacentral:rRNA from 1 species
UGAAUACGAGACGCUAAGGCGUCGAAGUAGUGUAUGUCAUACUUCCAGGAAAAGCUUGCACUGUCAUAAGUAAAAAAUGCCUGUACCAUAACCGACACAGGUGGGUAGGUAGAGUAUACUAAGGGGCGCGAGAUAACUCUCUCUAAGGAACUCGGCAAAAUAACUCCGUAACUUCGGGAGAAGGAGUACCUUAUUCUAUAAGGUUGCAAUAACAAGAUCCAAGCAACUGUUUAUCAAAAACACAGGUCUCCGCUAAGUCGUAAGACGAUGUAUGGGGGCUGACGCCUGCCCAGUGCCAGAAGGUUAAAGAAGUCGGUUAGCAUUAGCGAAGCUGGUAACUGAAGCCCUGGUGAACGGCGGCCGUAACGAUAACGGUCCUAAGGUAGCGAAAUUCCUUGUCGGGUAAGUUCCGACCCGCACGAAAGGCGUAAUGAUUUGGAUACUGUCUCGGAGAGGGGCUCGGUGAAAUAGACUUGUCUGUGAAGAUGCGGACUACCUGCACCAGGACAGAAAGACCCUAUGAAGCUUUACUGUAACUUGAAAUUGAAAUUGGACUUUAUUCGCGCAGUAUAGGUGGGAGGUGUUGAUUAUAAUCUUGCGGGAUUAUUGGAGCCAUCAGUGAGAUACCACUCUUGUAAUGUUAGAUUUCUAACUUUGAAUCAUUAUCUGGUCAAAGGACAGUUUCAGGCGGGCAGUUUGACUGGGGCGGUCGCCUCCCAAACGGUAACGGAGGCGUACAAAGGUUUCCUCUGAACGGGUAGAAAUCGUAUCUAGAGUGUAAAGGCAUAAGGAAGCUUGACUGUGAGACCUACAAGUCGAACAGGGACGAAAGUCGGUCUUAGUGAUCUGACGGUACUGAGUGGAAAGGCCGUCACUCAACGGAUAAAAGUUACUCUAAGGAUAACAGGCUGAUCUCCCCCAAGAGUUCGCGUCGACGGGGAGGUUUGGCACCUCGAUGUCGGCUCAUCGCAUCCUGGGGCGGUAGUACGUCCCAAGGGUUGGGCUGUUCGCCCAUGAAAGCGGUACGCGAGCUGGGUUCAGAACGUCGUGAGACAGUUCGGUCCAUAUCCGGUGUAGGCGUUAGAAUAUUGAGAGGAGCCUUCUUUAGUACGAGGGGACCGAGAAGGACAUACCUCUGGUGUACCAGUUAUCGUGCCAACGGUAAACGCUGGGUAGCUAUGUAUGGAGUGGAUAACCGCUGAAAGCAUCUAAGUGGGAAGCCCACCUCAAGAUAAGUAUUCUCA